rnacentral:lncRNA from 1 species
CAAGAACCUCAAUAAAUUAAAACAUUUACAAAGGAUAUAUGUAUUUAAAAACUGGAAACAUGUACAAUAUAUAUGCUGAAAGGAUUAGAAGAGACCUACCAGACAAUAUAACAAUAAUUGAUAUAUCUAUUUUAAUCUCUAUUGCAAUGAUGACGAUAAAUUUCAAUAUUUGCAUUGUAAAUAAGAAUCAAAGAAGAAAUACUUUGAUCAGUGAUACAAAAUUUUUGAAUUUGUAUUCAUCAGUGAAUUCAACAAAAUUGUAAUCAUUUACAAUAGUGCUUCACAAAGUGUGGGUUGUGACCCCAUAUGGAGUUGCAGAAAUUUUAGCAAAUGUUUUGAUUUGUAUCCCUCUAUAGUCUAUAUACCUCUGUAUCCAGGAUUGCAAAAAUAUUUUCUCAGGUAAAAGGGAUCACCAAGUGGAAUAGUUUGAAAAGCCCUGAUUUACAAGCUAUUAUUUACAAAAAUGAAAUAAUAUAUAAAAAUUAAAAAAUGGAAAAGAUGAUAAAACAGAAUAUAC